AGUAAUGUAUGGGGAUCUGCCUGAUGGCGGGGGAUAACUACUGGAAACGGUAGCUAAUACCGCAUAAUGUCUGCGGACCAAAGCGGGGGACCUCCGGGCCUCGCGCCAUCAGAUGAACCCAUAUGGGAUUAGCUAGUAGGUAAGGUAACGGCUUACCUAGGCGACGAUCCCUAGCUGGUCUGAGAGGAUGAUCAGCCACACUGGGACUGAGACACGGUCCAG
rnacentral:rRNA from 1 species